rnacentral:tRNA from 1 species
GACAGUGUGGCCUAAUGGAAAGACUAUGAGCUGGGAGUCAGAGGACCUGGGUUCUAAUCCCAGCUCUGCCA